GGAGGACUGGCCACUGCACGGCACGUCCACCUCUGAGGGGGACAAGGACAUCUUUGCCCUGGCUGCAACCAUAGUGGUUUGGGAGAUUCUCCAGAUGAUCCGCUACCCAGAGCUAUUGAUGGAAUAUUCGCCCCGUCUCCUCGUGGAUCUGCUCUUCCAAGUUCUCAUCAGCACAGAGCAGAUGCCAGAGGAGGUUGCCACCUUCUGGGGGAGAUGCUGGGAGGAACACCGCUUCGCCAGGAACCCCAGCAGAUUCGCAGUGCUGACCGUGAAGACCCUGCUUUGCCAUCUGCAGUUUGAAAAUAUUGUGAUGGCAAUGGAACGUAAGCGUGGCUGGGACACGCUCCUCAGGCCUGACACUUGCCACUAC